CCUACGGGAGGCAGCAGUGAGGAAUAUUGGUCAAUGGGCGAGAGCCUGAACCAGCCAAGUCGCGUGAAGGAAGAAGGUCUUAUGGAUUGUAAACUUCUUUUACAGGGGAAUAAAGAUGAGUACGCGUACUCAGUUGUAGGUACCCUGAGAAUAAGGAUCGGCUAACUCCGUGCCAGCAGCCGCGGUAAUA
rnacentral:rRNA from 1 species